GGGGCCUUAGCUCAGUUGGUAGAGCGCCUGCUUUGCAAGCAGGAUGUCAGGAGUUCGAUUCUCCUAGGCUCCACCA
rnacentral:tRNA from 2 species